CGUGAUGCUGGAUACCAUACAAAACUAAAGCAUGAGACCACCUACAACCUACUGUAUUUCUUCCAACCAAAAGUUGAGAACAAGCGUCUGAUUACUGAUACAAACAAGUUCAGGUUCCACUUAUUUGAAGACUUUGAUGCCAACUGUGGUCUCAGAGUAAGGUUUUACACCCUCCACGUGGCCAAUUUCGCUACAGGAUGCUGUAGAUGUUGUUGGCCGCAUGAAGCUAAUCAAUUGCAACCUCUCUCAUUAACGGACCCGUACUUGAUGAAGUUGAUAGCUUCCACUCAGCGAGUAUUGGUUCACCUACAGCCAAGAGAGUAAG